GCAAUUAAUAGCAACUUACCCUAAGUUUAAAAAAACGUUCUUUUAGCUUUUUAGGCGGAAGGAUCUAUCCAUACCAUAAAGGGUAGGAAGUCUUUCAAUUGGAUGUGCGGGUCAUCGAGAAACGUAUCGUUCGCCAUAAGACUGUCCCAUGCCAUAAAGAGGGCAGGUAGUAUAGGGGAAGGAUAGAAUAGUCAUUAAUCUUUUAGGCAUUAUGCGAGGAUACCUUAGUAAUGGGGACAAACAUCAUGUUUUUACUGAGGCACCUUCGAGGGACAAAACUGAUGAUGAUAAUGAACUUAGGGCAACAUUUGUUUUGCUUUAGGUAUCCUCGGAAUCAAUGGACUUUGACUAUUUAGUACAAUUAAAGGCAACAAGAGUAAGGCAACCAAUUAACAAGGCAACAGGCAACAAGAGGGGUUACCCUAAAGGUGUGUGGGUGCAACAAUCACGUGAUUGAAUUCAGAUAUUUAAUCUUGUAUGGUUAGUGAUCUAACGUUUGAUUGAUAAUCUUGCACUCCCUAAUUUACUAACCACGCAGUUAAUAUUGUGCGAAAAUUAAAAUGCAAAAAAACAUAAAGUCCUACGCUAUUACAAUAAACACCUGCGAGUGGGAAAAAUAAAGGCAAGAAAUAAAACCUAUAACUAUUACAAAAACCUUGCAUGCUAUACACAUUUUCUAGAAUUUAAAUAGAUUAAAAUAAAGGCAGAAAAGUAAAUAAAUAAUUAAAAUUAAAGGCAGAAAUUUAAAUAAAUGCAAAAAUUAAAUAAAUAAUUUAAAACAUGCGACAUACAAUGGAGUGGGAGAUGAGAAGAGAAAUUCGCGCAUAAAAUAUAGUUAAGAAAAACCAGGGUUAAAAACCUUAUGGCUAAAAAAACCUAGCCUACAGUUUGAUAGACAACCCUUACAUUGUUGAUAUGACUCUGAUAAAAGGCUGAAACCUGACUAUGAUUAAAUUGUAAACCUAAAAUUACUAAUUAUUAAACCCUAAUAAUAUUAGCCUAAACUUGCCCUGGAAACCCUAAUUUGAUUAACCUAAAAUUGAUCUAACUUAAAUUAAUUAACCCUAAAUUAAUCAUUUAAUUAUUAAUCUUAAUUAAAUCCUAAUUAUGUAGAAAUGUUAAAUUGACUAAAACCUAAUAUCUAAUUUAAAUCCUAAUAAUAUACCAACUAAUUAGAACUAAACCUAAUUUUAAUUUUAAUUGGUUGAAUAAAAAGAACUAAACAAUAACCAAAAAAAAGAAAUAAAAUAAUCAAAUAAUAAAAAGAAACAAAAACCUGGGCGAUAAUAAUUCUGUGUGGAGGACCUGUGAGGGUCCACGGUGGAAUUGCGCUUUCUGGACCGCUGGAUUAAUCUCCGUGACAUUCUGAUGGUUGAUAUUGAUUGGCACACCAUGCACGCGCGGAGCCUCAUCACGCUGGAUUCUGUGAACACCAACACCUCAACUGGGAAGUAAAAAAAUAAAGAAACUGAAAGGCGUGAGGCCCCCAGGGAUCGAACCCACGCAUAAGGGUUCUUUCUCGCUCUUUGCCACUUGAACCAUACACCAUUCAUGUCAUUUGCACACGUGAAAGAGUAUAGAUAAUCAAACAAUUGGCUAAAUGCAAAAUUAAAAAAAAAUAGUCAAAACCUGGGGCCUACCACUCUGCUAACUAUCCAAUUGCAAACGGAGAGAGGGAUUGGAAAUAUUGACUCACAAAUGGAGAGUGGCCACGUAACGGUCAACCUUUCAAACGCAACUAUUCAUUGUCUUCUUCAUCCUCCAUGCAGAAUUACCUGCGAAAACUCCCGCGACAUUACCUGCGGAUUUAUCCACGGGUUCUUCAUCUUUGCACCUGCGAUUUUUGAAACUCAUACAAAACAUGGUUCAAACUCACAUAAACGUGCCCAGAUCUCCUAAAUCGACGUCUCUGGACUCAAUGAUGACCUCGUUAAGGAUUGAAACGGCCUUCCCGUAAGGGUUCGAAGAACAACAUGAAGCUUGCCCUAACAAUGGCAUUUAUGUAACAAUGCGUUUAGACCCUCAUGUACACGUCCAGUCCUGUUCUAAAUGACCUAGGGAACACAUUAGUAUCAUCCAUUCACAUUAAAACACAGCAACACGCGAAAUACAACAAUCAGAAACAUGAUGGAUUUUGGUGAUUAUGAUAUCCGGAUUUUAGGUGCAAUCACGUGUUAUAAAAUACCUGGACUUACUCUAUGACUCUUCAGGAAUUGAAUGGUAUGAAUGGGAGUUUUUGGAAUUCGUGGAAUCACCACUUUUGCUUGUGCCCUAGUUCUUGAUAUUUUUUUGCACCUUUGAAACCCUACUUUGCUUGGCCAAAAUUCGUCCCCUCUAUCAUUAGGGUUAAUGUGCAUAUAUACUAGAAGCCUUAGGUUAAUUUUGUGGGCUUGGAUAAUAGGUUUUUAGGAGAGAAAAAUAUUUGGAUGAAAAUUCUAUGAUUCUUUCUAUACUUUGCAUAAUGUCUUUUCCAUGGCAUGUUCCACGAACUUGGGCUCUCUCUUAUGAUUAUUUGGGCCUUCAAGUAAUUAAAACCAAAGCCACGCAUUUUAUUCUAUUUAUUUUGUAAUUUUACUUAAUUUAUUUGAUUUUUAAUUGCAUAAAACUCAAAUAAAUAUAAAUAAAGAUCACAAAAAUAUGGGAGUUCAUUUAUAGGUCCUUAUUUAGGUCAUGGGUGUGUUUGAAAUCAAAAUCUUAGGCCCAUUAGUCCAAAAGUUCAAAUUUAGGCAAUUAGGGUUUGGUGUUUUUUUCUUGAAAAUCGACCAACUUGCGCCAAUUAUAACUCCUUCAUUUUUUAUUGUAUGGAAGUGUUCUUGAGCUUUCUAGAAAUCUUAGAGUGUCCUCUAAAGGAUGCUUUUGGUUUCGUCUCGAUUAAAUAUUCCAUGCUCAAGUUAUGAGCUUUGACCCAAAAUGUGUUUUCGUUGACCUUUUCGGAGGACCUGUAAUGUAUUGGCUCCUAUAUCUUAGAUGAAGCAUUUUUAGACCUGGCAUGUGAGAGGCAAAGUUGUAGAGACUUCAAUUUCCUUCAAAAUGAGCUUUGGAUGGGCAAUUUUUGAUGUUCCAUGUGAAAGUUAUGGCCGGUCAAAGUUCAGUUGACUUUUCCUUUAAGAACCCUAAUUUAGAAACUCAGGUUCUUGAUGAUUCUGGAGUUUUUCUUGAUGAAUCAUGAUCAAUACUUGAUCAAAUGAUGAAUGACACUUCACAAUGAGCAUGUUGACCAAAGAUCAGAAGUUUGACUGGGGUUUGAUCAUAGUUUGACUUUUAGGUCAACUAGUCGAUUAUUGAUCGUUCGGGCCAUUGAGUGAGCAAUCUUAUGAAGCAGAGCUUGAAACUUGGCAUAGAGGUUCUUUAAAUCACAUGAGAGACCAUGGAGUCCACUUGAAGUACCAGAAGUUGAUUUCUCUUUGGAGAAAAUCAAAACCCUAGUUCAUAGGCGUUCGUUUAUGAGGGAUGUCUAUUCAGUCAGGUAUUGAGACUUUGAUAUCCAAAUGAGCCUGAGUAUGAAAAUGUGACGGGCAAAUUUUGGGGUAUGACAGGGAGGCUCACUGAGAUUUAGUAAUCUCACCCCAAUCAACUUAUUUUUUUUCAGGUGCAGUUUAGUAGCUUUUGAUAGAUAGCCGGUUCGGAUUGAUGGCUUAAAGUGGUGUCGGCUCGAAGACCUCGUUGAUUUUGACAUUCCGCUGUGCAAGAUCCAUUAAAGACUCAUGUAUUGUGCUACUUAGUAGAAUUUCGUGUUGUAUUUUAUAUGGAUCAAAUAUUAUACCUUGACUUGUGUAUGUACUCAAUAUCAAUUUUAACGUUUCAUGCAUAAUAUACUAGUCAGUUAUGUAUGGGGUGUUACAGUUGGUAUCAGAGCAGGUCGAUUCUCGGCCGAGCCAUGGGACAUCACUAGCAAUUCCUUUCUUCCUCACAUGUGUGCGUUGCUAGCCUGAUUUUACUGAUAUCUCAUUGAGUCGUUGAACUUGAUCAACUCAUCGACUAAGUGCGAGACAGUAGAAUUACGACAGAGCCGCCACGAGGACUCGUAAACCUUUGAGUGUUGUAAACCCAAGCAGUAAGAGUUGAAUGGGUAAUGGAUUGUUGGAAAACGUAAGUGGAUAAUAUUGGAUUCGUCAAGCUUAAGGAGAGCGUUUGACGCGAAAUAGUGAUACUCGAACUGCCAAGUAUGGAUCGAGACAACUAGAACCCCCAAGAUUUUGACUGAACGAAGUGAAGCUUUAUAUAAGUCUUGGCAAUAGCAAGGGAAAUCCAAAUGGGAUUGUGUAUGAGCCUUAUAAGUGGGAUUCUCCGAAGGUGUUGAGCGGUGAAUUAGUAGGAUUCAGUACUGAUGAUGUUGUCGGUAUUAAGUGCGACUGAUGAGCUGAUAGGACAGAAUGGCCUCUGGAAAUGCGGACAGAAGAGUUAGACCUUUCGAAUUGCACUGUUACGGACAAUAGUGGAUAUAUGAAGUAUUAGAUCCUGAUUCAACUUGAAGUACCCUAAGCGAGAGUAGUUUCCUAGUGAAGGUUGGUGGAAUGUACGAGUGUGGUAACUUACGAUGGGGCGAGGUUUGAAUGCUCGGUCGAUAGAAGAGAAUAUGUAUUUCUAUUCUUAUCAUUUUAUAUUUAAGUUCUAGAACUACGCUAGAUGGAAUAUGAAAUGAUGUAGAAGCGUGAAAUGCAGUAACCUAAGUUCUUGUUAGUUGUUGUUCGUCUGACCCUGAGUGAAGCCAUAGAACUACGCUUGGCGUUGGGCGUUCAGGCGAGUAAGAACUAAGAUCUAUCUGGAACUUCAGUAGGAUGAUCGCAGUUGUGUUGGUUGCUAGGAACUAUAUUAUUCCCAUUCGAACUGGAUUAUCCUUAUUAUCUUUCAUGCAUGCGUGAGACAAGUGAGUGCAUGCAUAGCAUAAUAAUCCAAGUUGGGAUCUUAACUAUUUGUGUUUGGCUUAUUGCCUUCUGAGUAAGUAAACCUUGAGGUGCAGCACCCUCAGGAUUUAGCAUCCUGAGGAGUGUGUUUUAAAGGACUUGAGGAACGAUGAGCCUAUUGGAAGCCUAUUCAGACAUUUGUCGGUUGCGACUAUAGGAUACGCGUGAGGAUCAUUAUACGCCACUGAGGUAGGUUACUUGGAUACAUGGUCUCGGAGUUAGACCACCAUGUUAGUACUACCAGAUGGGUAUAAUGCCACAGUAUCGCUGUCGUGCCCAAGAUGCAUUAGUCAUCCUUUUCCGACAAGUGUGGGGGCAAAGAUGACUUGGAGCUCAAGGUAGAAUUCUGAUUUGGAACUCGUGAGACACAUAUUCAGAAUCUCAUAAGGCAUGUGGGAUAAGGAUCCAUACGUCGCGCUCGAUAGUAGGGGACUAACUAGACAGGCGAUGGUGAGAUGGAUAAAGAUCCAAUACUAUACUUAUGGAGACUCUGAGUGAUCGUGAUCGCGUGAGUUAGUAUCAGAUUGUACCUUGGGGACGUUCUUGUUUUGUGAAGUGUUAAGUUGGCAAUUUUGCACGAGUGUCUAGAGUGGGACUCAUGUGCGAUCACGAUAUCCUGAUCAGCAUGGUGAGUGGCUAUCAUGUACCAUUGGCGACCGGUGAUGGAAUAUGCGAAUUGUAUCUUGGACUAGUAUGAUGUGUGACGUAUCUGGUAGAGUGUCUGUAGAUACUCUGAGUGAAGAAAUGACAAUGUUGGUAAAGCAUACACAUUUUGGUUUGAGAACUGCUAAGGAGUCUAUAAGAGAGAUGUUCGAAAUACAAAGUGCAAUUUCUUGCAUUGUGGCUACACUCCGACCGUUGGAAGCACUGCAAUGAAGGAUGCGGCCGCCGCGGAAGUCAGUUUAGUAUCCGAUUCAGAAGUGAUAAAGGCAUUAGAUGAAUGUAUGAAUGAAGAGUGUCCGUGAGAAGGUUGUUGUAUCAGUUAAUUAAUUUGACUCAUCAGAGGUGUUAUCACACCAAGAGAACGAAGUUGUAUAGUUGGGAAGAAGCAAUGUGAAACUGUUAGGGAUGUCGUGAGUUGCAAUACGUUAUGAAGGGUUCGUUGUAUUAGUUAAGUAACAAGACUUGUUGGACGGGAAGACAUAAUAUUUAUGCAUUGUGGGAAUCGAUGGCGGUAGACGAAUUUCUAAGUCAGUGAGUGUUUGGCUUUCAAUGUUAUGGAACCAAAACGUGGAACCAACUUGCGUACAGUGGACCUGGUCCGGAUUGAGGGAAUAAUUAGUGACCUGAUUUUGGAAAUUUCUCAUACUCGAGAUGUAAUCCUUGUUGAGGGUGUCUAAGGUUCUAACACGUAUCUUGGUGGCACGAAAUUCCGAGAAGGAACCUUUGUUAUUUAAGGAUUGGGUAAGCUUGGUAAAGUAAUGGAAACUAAGUGAAUUAUGGAUAUAACGUGACUCAUAGGAUUUCAGGGUGUGUGACUUGUUGGAAUCAGAGUAGCGCAACAGAUCAAGGAAGAAUCAGAUAAGUCUGAGGGGGGGAAUGAACGGACUAUUCAUAGGAUCUCAUGUUGGGAUGGAAUAUUUUCCUGAGGGAAAUUGUCGAAGCAAUGGUUUGUUCAUUCCAGUCUCUCGAGGAUCCACCAUAAACUCAUGAGGUAUUGUCAUUAGGUCGGCUUGGGAAUAUACUUUGGGGAUGGCAUAUGGUCCAAUGUUAGUAGAUCGUCAGUUGAGCUUGUAAGCAACAAGGGUUCGAUAUAGUAUCGUGACCGUCGGAAUACUGAAGGCUAGUGAGGACAUUCAGCGGCCACAAGUUCUUUGUGGUUAAGCCUUGUGCACUAUGAUCGUGCAGGAAGACUUGGACAAUGGUUACAGGUCAGCUGUGGAAUUUCACCUCUCAUCAGUAGAAUCUUGUGUGAAGUUGUCGGAUGUCAAGGCUAUAGUUGCAAGAUGAUUUCCCCUUCGUGGUUUACGGUGACAGUUGUUAUGUCUAAACUGGAGUAAGGGUUAAAGUAAGAAGAAUCAAUUGUAUAAAGUAAAGGUAAACUUGAGACAAACAUCCUAACAUUUUGGAAACCAGAAGUUAGAACCAAGAUAUUUGGCUAACGCCUAAUGUCAUUGUAUGGACUUUGGUAGAGAAUAAUUUGAAGCGUCAUCAUAGAACAGAAUAUUAUGACAAGAAUGCUUGGAUGGGAAGUAAUUCAAGGAGCCUGAGUGAAUCAAUAAGUGUGUUGGACAAGGGUGAACACAAUAGAGUUUGAACAGCAAAUAUCCAAGUGAGUGGAUUACUAGGGUUUCUGAAGUUCUGGGGAUUCAGUGCAGAGCCGUGAAGGUCAAGGACCCUGGAAGGAUCUUUCCCCAGAUAUGUCAAGACGAAGUAUCUGGAUAGACGUGUUGCUUGAGAGUCAAGGCUCUAACCAUGCAUAGUGGGACGCAGGUGUUUUGGCAGAUUAUGUUUCUUCAUAUGGAAUGACCCUCAGACAGAUUAGUGAGAUUAUCUGAAGAGAAAUGUAAGGAACAUUUCAUCCCCUCGUUGGUAUAGAUUUGGACACGUUGUUUCCGUGGUGAUCAGAAAGAAUUCGAGGACGAAUUCAAUUUAAGGGGGGGAGAAUGUAAUACCCCGUAUUGGUCUAAGCAUGAUUAUACAUAAAUUGUGAAGUGCUAAGGAGAAACUAUGAGUUAAGAGAAGUGAGUGGAUUAGUUAGAACCUAACCAAAUGGCAUAGUGGUAAAUCUCAUUUAGUUGAAGGGCAUUUUGGUCAUUAGUCUUCAAUUGCAUGUGGGCCUAAGGCCAUGUUUGGUGGAAUGUAUUACAAAUCACACUUUAUGAGUGGAUUUGAGAGAAAGAAAGAAAGAGAAACUUUUAUUCAUCAUCAUCUUCCCCAUUUUCGUAUUCCAUGGUGCAGCUCCACUAAAUCAGCUUCUGUAUUGGAGGAGAAAACUGACCUUGAAGUUGUGUCAGUUAUGCUGAAUGUGUGUUAUGGAGAGCUACGAAUUUCUUGCUAAUGGAGAUGGAAGUUUGAGUAAGAUAAGAGUUCAAAGGCUGCAUUAACACCAUCUAAACCUCUAUUAAUCCAAGGUGAGUCUCUAGUUAGAGACUUGGGGUUUUGUGGGGAAAUUGGAAUUUGGGGAAAAUUGGGGAUUUGUGUGAUAAAAAAAAUCAUUGCAUGUUUGUUUAAUGAAUAAAGUAUGUGUUAUUUGAUGUGAUUAUAUGUCGUAGAAUGAUGAUACAUGAUGGAGCUCGAAUUCGGAUCAUUAGGGAACCUUAGAAAUGUUUUAGGAUGUUUUGGAACUGGUUUUAUGCAGGAAAAUACGUUUUUUUGACUUUGCUUCAGUAGCAAAUCGAUUUGCAUGGGUUGUAAAUCGAUUUUCCUUCCUGAAAAUGUCAUUUUUGGGCUCUGCUACAGGUGUAAAUCGAUUGCAGUAAGAUGCAAAUCGAUUGCUUACUGACAGGAAAACAACUUUUAUUGUUUUGAUCAUAACUUGAGUUUCGUAACUUGAAAUGAAGCCCGGUCGGAAGCGUUGGAAAGGUCUUUUAAUGAUCUUUAUGAAUAUGCUUAGAUAUAAAGCUUUUAGUUGAUUUAAAAUUUAUGGAAAAUGGAUGUUUAGUUACAUGAUAUCGGAUUAACAUUUAUAGAAUAAAGAAUGGUAUGUUUAAUUCCCCAGAGUGCAGUUCCGUUCCAUGUCGGGAACCGGAAGCCUCUUUGUUAUGAGACUAAUGUGUGUCCAUGUACGUUCUAAAUAAUUAUAUGGUUUGAUUAUGUUUAAUAUAUUCCAUGAUCGAAACAUAUUUAACUCACAUGUGACGAGUAUGUACAAAUGACAUGAUAUUUAUACGAUGGAUUUUGUCUAAUAUUAUGUGCAUAUAAUACAAUGUAAAUUGUUUUCCCGUCGUUCCGGUUGGACGUUCAGAUGCUUGAUUUUUGUGAACUUGCCUUGGUUGAAUAUGCGUGAAUCGAAGUAUAACCGUACUACUAGGAUAGUAAAUCCUGUUUACCCACUAUGUGGAUGCCCAUUGGUAGCCCAUGUGGCGUUUGUGUUAUGUAUUAUAUACCAUGGAUGAUUUGGCUUUAUGCCUGUUGUAUAUACGUGUCUAUAUCCGUAUAUUUUGCGUUACCUGAGCUACUAUUGCGGUGGAAGCAAGUGAGGGUCUUUAAUGGCGUUUCCCACUUGGUAACUCACCUGCGUGAUUAGUAUGGUAAGUGGGUGAUGCCACGUAGGCAAUCACUGAAUUACUUGCCUCUAGUAACGUCAAUUAGACAGUGUUACUAGGCUUUCUCCCGGUGGGCUUGUACGUCGAAGAGAAUGUAUUGCACCUGUUUACUCACCUGCGUACAGAGGAUGAAUACCAUUGCAGUGGAAGCAAGACCGGGGUCUUUAAUGGCGUUUCCCACUUGGUAACUCACUGGCGUGCUUGGUGAUGAGGUUGUAAAUGCCACGUAGGUAAUGGUACAACUUAACUCAUCUCGGGUGGAAUUCCAUAUAGGAAUGACCCGAAUUCAUCGUGCGGUGUGCUUGUGUAAGUCUUUCGACAUAUAUGUACUUGGAUACUCACCGAGGGUACGUGGCAGAGGUAGCCUAGUCAGAUGGGUAUAACUCCUUGAUUCCUCACAUAAGGAUGUGAGUUUGCAUAUUGUGAAUUAUUGUUUUAUUGAACGCCUCAUUGGAUAGUUAAGGGACUUCCAAUUGUGAUUAUACCCUUGUUUGUAUUUGCACCUAAACGUGAGGCAUAACCCCGGAUUCUAGGUGAAUCUUUUUAUGAUGCAUGUACCUUGUAGAACCGAGCAAACCCUUAAGAUAGGGAGGCUCACUGAGAUUUAGUAAUCUCACCCCAAUCAACUUAUAUUUUUUUCAGGUGCAGUUUAGUAGCUUUUGAUAGAUAGCCGGUUCGGAUUGAUGGCUUAAAGUGGUGUCGGCUCGAAGACCUCGUUGAUUUUGACAUUCCGCUGUGCAAGAUCCAUUGAAGACUCAUGUAUUGUGCUACUUAGUAGAAUUUCGUGUUGUAUUUUAUAUGGAUCAAAUAUUAUACCUUGACUUGUGUAUGUACUCAAUAUCAAUUUUAACGUUUCAUGCAUAAUAUACUAGUCAGUUAUGUA